AUACGUAGGUGGCAAGCGUUGUCCGGAUUUACUGGGUGUAAAGGGCGCGUAGGCGGGAUGGCAAGUCAGAUGUGAAAUCUCCGGGCUCAACCCGGAAACUGCAUUUGAAACUGUCGUUCUUGAGUAUCGGAGAGGCAAGCGGAAUUCCUAGUGUAGCGGUGAAAUGCGUAGAUAUUAGGAGGAACACCAGUGGCGAAGGCGGCUUGCUGGACGACAACUGACGCUGAGGCGCGAAAGUGUGGGGAGCAAACAGGAUUAGAUACCCUGGUAGUCCACACUGUAAACGAUGAAUGCUAGGUGUAGGGGGUAUCGACCCCUUCUGUGCCGCAGUCAACACAAUAAGCAUUCCGCCUGGGGAGUACGGCCGCAAGGUUGAAACUCAAAUGAAUUGACGGGG
rnacentral:rRNA from 1 species